GGUAACCCGGAGAACUGAAACAUCUAAGUACCCGGAGGAAGAGAAAACAAUAGUGAUUUCGAUAGUAGCGGCGAGCGAACUCGAAUUAGCCCAAACCAGUGUUGUUACGGCAAUACUGGGGUUGUAGGACCACGACAUUUGAUGCACAAUGAAUUAGAACCCUUUGGAAAGAGGGGCCAUAGACGGUGAUAGCCCGGUAUAAGUAAAGAGUGUUAUUGAUAGUGGUAUCCUGAAUAGUGCGGGGCACGUGAAACCCUGUAUGAAUCUGGCGGGACCAUCCGCCAAGGCUAAAUACUCCUGAGAGACCGAUAGUGAACUAGUACCGUGAGGGAAAGGUGAAAAGAACCCUGAAUAAGGGAGUGAAAUAGAUCCUGAAACCAUACGCUUACAAGCGGUCGGAGCCAUUCGUGGUGACGGCGUGCCUUUUGCAUAAUGAGCCUACGAGUUACUGUUACUAGCAAGGUUAAAUUUUUAAGAAAUGGAGCCGUAGCGAAAGCGAGUCUGAAUAGGGCGCCAUAGUUAGUAGUAGUAGACGCGAAACCGUGUGAUCUACCCAUGGGCAGGGUGAAGCUUUGUUAACCCAAAGUGGAGGCCCGAACCGAUAUACGUUGAAAAGUGUUCGGAUGACCUGUGGGUAGGGGUGAAAGGCCAAUCAAACUCGGAAAUAGCUCGUACUCCCCGAAAUGCAUUUAGGUGCAGCGUAUACAUAGUUUUAUAGAGGUAGAGCUACUGAUUGGAUGCGGGGGCU
rnacentral:rRNA from 1 species